AGUAAUCUCAGCUAAUUAAGCUUUCGGGCCCAUACCCCGCACAUGUUGGUUAAACUCCUUCGAUUACUA
rnacentral:tRNA from 1 species